GUCCACGCCCUAACGAUGUCAACUGGUUGUUGGGAGGGUUUCUUCUCAGUAACGAAGCUAACGCGUGAAGUUGACCGCCUGGGAGUACGGCCGCAAGGUUGAAACUCAAGGAAUUGACGGGACCCGCACAAGCGGUGGAUGAUGUGGUUUAAUUCGAUGCAACGCGAAACCUUACCUACCCUUGACAUGCCAGGAACUUGCCAGAGAUGGCUCGGUGCUCGAAAGAGAACCUGGACACAGGUGCUGCAUGGCCGUCGU
rnacentral:rRNA from 1 species